rnacentral:rRNA from 1 species
AUUGAACGCUGGCGGCAGGCUUAACACAUGCAAGUCGAGCGGAGCGAGGGUGCUUGCACCUUAGCAUAGCGGCGGACGGGUGAGUAAUGCUUAGGAAUCUGCCUAUUAGUGGGGGACAACAUCUCGAAAGGGAUGCUAAUACCGCAUACGUCCUACGGGAGAAAGCAGGGGAUCUUCGGACCCUGCGCUAAUAGAUGAGCCUAAGUCGGAUUAGCUAGUUGGUGGGGUAAAGGCCUACCAAGGCGACGAUCUGUAGCGGGUCUGAGAGGAUGAUCCGCCACACUGGGACUGAGACACGGCCCAGACUCCUACGGGAGGCAGCAGUGGGGAAUAUUGGACAAUGGGGGGGAACCCUGAUCCAGCCAUGCCGCGUGUGUGAAGAAGGCCUUAUGGUCGUAAAGCACUUUAAGCGAGGAGGAGGCUACUUUAGUUAAUACCUAGAGAUAGUGGACGUUACUCGCAGAAUAAGCACCGGCUAACUCUGUGCCAGCCGCCGCCGUAA